CGUUGAUCGGGUUUGGUGCUGUCGUAUGUGAUGGUGCAUGAGUGGUGAUAAGGUCGUUGGGUUCGGCAGGCUCCGUGCUUCAUGCAUCGAACUGUCGAAGCGCGAUCUCCUCAUUUGUUGUAGCCCAUGUGUGCGUCUUUAUGCCUCGUGGGUGAAUGUCGGGUUUCUGUGCUGCUUACCAAUGAGAUUGGAAUUGAACGCUUUGUUGUGGGAUAUUCGUUGCACCCUUCGUGAGGGGUUGCGAUGAUCAUCGUAGCGCCUCCCAUGUUCCAUGCAUGAUGAUUGCUUGAUCAAAUGUUUUGGCACAUGGGUAGGUCGCUCGUGCUUAGGGAUGCAUAAAGUUGGAUUCGAUCGAGGGAUCCUAAAGUCCCUCAGUUGCCUGAUAUAACGUCCACGUUAUAUACACAAAUGAACGAACGACUUUCGAUCCUCGUUUCCGGCUCUCGAUAUGCUGGGAUGACGAUCCUUCACAUGUCGAGUAAUGGGGCGGGGGUUGAGGUCGCGAAGGAAUGC
rnacentral:misc_RNA from 1 species